rnacentral:lncRNA from 1 species
CUGUGGGGGCAGUGUGGAGCAGAAUAAUACCCCUGAUCACCUGUGGGGGGCAGUGUGGAGCUGAAUAAUACCCUGAUCACCUGUGGGGGCAGUAUUAAUGUGUCUGAUAUCAUUGUUGUGAAUCUGGUGAAACAGGCUGGAGUGUCUGAGACGGUCUCUGUGUCCUCCAGUCUGAGACGGUCUCUGUGUCCUCCAGUCUGAGACGGUCUCUGUGUCCUCCAGUCUGAGACGGUCUCUGUGUCCUCCAGUCUGAGACGGUCUCUGUGUCUUCCAGCCUGUGUCUCUGGGCGUUUCGGUCCCUUCUGCUCUCUGACCUGUUCGUGUCCGUCGCCGCUGAUCUGUGAUCGUUUCACUGGAGACUGUGUGUGUGAGGACGGAGGAGACGACUGCAAACAAGACACGUCGGAGCAGACGGGGAGCGUCAUGGUGCCGCUGCCCCCCGGGGAGAGGGAGUCCUGGGGGGGCCAUCAGCGGCAUCGUGGUUCUGGUGCUGCUGGUGGUUCUGCUGCUGGUUCUGCUGCUGUUGUACCGCCGGCGGCAGAAGAAGAAGCACAGCAACACGCCCGCCGUGUCCUUCUCCACCGGCCGAACCCUGAACUCCGAGUACGCCGUGCCAGACGUUCCCCACAGUUACCACCACUACUACUCCAACCCCAGCUACCACACCCUGAGCCAGAGCCACGCCCGCCCGCCGCUGCCCCACCUGCCCAACAACCACGGCCGCACCGUCAAGAACACCAACAAGCAGCUGUUCUGCAGCGUGAAGAACGCGGAGCGGGAACGCCGCGGCCUGUUCGGGGUGGAGCCCAACGCCACGCUGCCCGCCGACUGGAAACACCACAAGAACCGCAAAGACUCAGGAGCCUUCGGCAUCGACCGGAGCUUCAGCUACAGCGCCACCCUGGGGAAACGCUACAGCAAAGAGCUGAAGGACUUGGCGGCGGCGGCGGCGGCGGCGAGCAGCAGCUCUCUGAACAGCGAGAAUCCCUACGCCACCAUCAAGGACCUGCCGGGCCUGCCCCACUUCUGCCCCCCCGAGAGCAGCUACAUGGAGAUGAAGUCGGCCGUGCCCCGUGA